ensembl:lncRNA
AAUCACACCGUACUUGGUCUUGUGAGGUCACGAGAGGCGCCGCCGCUCUCUCCAGGGUAGUUCAAAUAGUGCGACGACACCGGGUUCAAAAUGUAAACAAAGGUUUUAAUUUACGUCCUUCAGAUUGAACAGAAAACAGUCAAAACAGGGAGUAACUCAGGCUUCGGUCGAUCUUCGCCGGUAAAACUUAACUAAUGUCUUGUCUUUGGAGGGGAAACGGAAAACCUCUCGGUCUCUCCUGCAUUCGGGAAUCCUUCUGUCUUGGUCUGCUCUUCUGCAGCUCGUCUCUCCUCCCUCAGCGGUGUGUCUUCCGCCCUCAUGGAGGCCUCCAGGUCGUCACACCCUGGUGGGUUUCAGGCAUGAGGGGAAUGCUCUUUCGGGAUGGAGCCAUAGUGGUUACAGCCAUCGCCGGUGAACGCAUCUCCCUUCCAAGACCGAGCCUCUCGUGACAUCACAGUUGUUUUUGUCUACGCUUUACUUUUUAUCCAACACGAAAACCAUACGGACCUGAAGUCCUCUAUUUUGUCAAUUUCUUUGUGAAGUUUCCUUUUUCCCCAAACAUUCACCUUCUCACAUUUUGCUAUCAAUGUUCCUUUGAUCAGACGUU